AGCGAACGCUGGCGGCGUGCCUAACACAUGCAAGUCGAACGUGAACGGGGGCAACCCCUAGUAAAGUGGCGUACGGGUGAGUAACACGUAGAUCAUCUACCCAAGAGUCUGGAAUAACCUGCCGAAAGGCGGGCUAAUACUGGAUAGAGCGAUGGAACUCGUAAAGGGUUUUUCGGGAAAGGGAGCUCGCAAGAGCCCUCGCUUUUGGAUGAGUCUGCGUCCCAUUAGCUAGUUGGUGGGGUAAUGGCCUACCAAGGCAGUGAUGGGUAGCUGGUCUGAGAGGAUGAUCAGCCACACUGGAACUGAAACACGGUCCAGACUCCUACGGGAGGCAG
rnacentral:rRNA from 1 species